UUUUGAAGGGGCUUCAUUGCAACGCAGCGCCAACUGCGGCCAAUCAAUGUUCCGGAUAUGCACUCCGGUCUGGUGGUUAUUUGAUGUUUAUUAUUUUCGUACUACUUCCGGGUUUUGUUGUUUACAAUAUAAACCGUUACAAGUUCGUGCUUAACGAUAUUGUGUUACUGUUUAAAAGACUGUAUAUUUUACUAAACCACCAACGAAGUGGUUAAACUACAUAUGACUGAUAGAAUUUGAGGCGAAUAGUGUUCUCAUUGGAAGUCGCAGCUGCAGCUUUCAAACCAACUUUGGUAAAAAACAGCUUUCUGAAUAGCUCCCAUUUAAGACUCAAGUUACUUUGAAAGCUACUGCUACAUUAUAUUGAUAGGAUUUUCCUUUGGAUCCUCCGUAUUCUCUUAGGACUGUGUUAUGAAGAAGAGAGUGAGGCGUGCGCGGUUUUCCGAUGUGGCAGCAGGACAAAGAAGCCAGACUCAGUUAGUUGUCGGGGUAAAGAAACAUUUUGGGCGGCGAGGAAGAACCAAUAAUAAUGCUGCAAAGAUAACUUCACCAUCAGUGACAUAUCUACAGUUUUACAAUUGAGCACAGCAGUGUCAGCUGUGGCGACAGAAGGGGAGGAGCAGCCACAGCAUAGAUCAAAGAAAUCCUGUGAUUCCCCUUCAAGAUUCUUGACAAGCAGUCUAGAUUUUGAGGUAUGGGCAGACUCAGCAUUGCAUUCUGUCAUGGAAAGUUCUCACCUCGGAGGCUGCGGCAUGCCUUCGACAAGUGGCCAGGGGAUCCAGAGAGAGCCAGCCCAGUCGCCACUGUUUUUAUACAUAGACUUUCAGGGCCUAGUUGGAGUGCCACUGAACCGUGGUCCACGUCACUCAGUUUGUCUGCAAGACCUGCCACACAAUACUGCUCAUAUUUAUGCAGAGGGUUAACAUCUUGCCCUCUGUGAAUGUGCACACCAGAGGCAGGAAGAGUUCAGAGGGCUCUCAAUGAACGGUGGACCCCAUCUUGUUGUCACCCUCCAUCCCCUCCUUCCCAAGUGUCUCCACAGCCUGGUGUCCUGGGCCCACCACCAUGCAGAGGACUGCCGCUCUUGCCCUGAGCUGAAAGAAGUGCUGGAGAGGCAGUGCUGGGGCUCAGUAAGUGCCGUCUGGGGGUGUGUGGAUGGACAUAGUUACGGAAUAGACACACAGACCACAAAGCCCAGAGCAAACCCUGGACACACAGAGUGAUCCCCUACUGGAAGGUGAGGAGCAGCUUCGAGGGAACCAACACCCUGUCAACACCACCAUGUCCCAGCCCAGUACAGCUGCCACCCCCCAGACUCAGAGCGCCGUCCACACUGAUGCUACCACCACCAGUGUAGAUGGUCAGACAGCUUUUGGUACCGCCAAAGUUACCCUGGGAAACUGAAGUAUGGUGUUAAUUGCAUUGAAAUGCAUGGCUCUUUGCAGGUGGUUACCAUCUUAUUGUCUGUUGCCAGUCCAAAUUAAUUCGUUUGACCCUCUUGUCCCUAGAAUUUCUCUUUGAGGAGACACCCUCUCCUGCACCAGCCCUGCUCAUGGACAGGCCAGGUGAAUCAACAAUGAAAAACAAGGUUCAAGUUAUACAGUACUGGAAAGUUAAGAUUGGUUAAACUAUAGGCUGUUGUGUCAAAUCUUAGGAACUUGUCCAGCGAGGAUGAGUUUGAAGAGAAAAGGAAAAGUGUAUCCUCUGAAUUAUUUGAGCCAUACCUAGAGAAGGAGUGAGUAGAUUGAUGUGGGUUCUAGCCAGAGGCAACAUGCCCAUAGGGGGCACAGGGUCACAUGCCCCUUCAGAUUGGUCCUGUUUAAAAAUAAUUGUGGUUUCUCUGUAAUACUACUAGCCACCUCGCAAUUUUAUGAAGCUGACUUUAGCUAGCCCAGAUAGGCUCCCAACCACAUAACUAGCUACCAAGAUGCCAUUUCAGUCUAUCAAUCAAGUUAGAGUAGCUAGCUUGUCUAUCUUAACUGGCAUGCCUAUAAAAGCAAGCAAUAGCUAAAUGUACUGAAUAAGACUGACAUUCCUUUCAAUCUUUUACCCAGAAUUUAGCAGAGAAGCAUAUUUAGUUUUGUCGUUUUUUUUUACCCACCAGUCUGGAGGAUACAGACAGCUCAAGAGGUAUGCUUAGAUAUGCAGAUAAAUAUACAUUUUUCUUUACAAAGAAUUAAGCAUUUUGGGGUGCAUGAUGCCCUGGUUCUAGCUAUUUUGCAUAUCAAACCAAAAUUAUACAUAACACAUCAGUAGACAGAAAGAUCUCUUAUUACUAGCGGAAAAAGGGCAUCGUGGCUUUGAUAUCUUCAGUGUUUUCUUCCUUUUCCCAUGCCCUACAGAAUUGCUUCCCCGGAGAACCAGAAUAAAAUAAGCAAUUGGACUGAGGUGUAGUAUCCAUGUUUGUUUUUGGUUUUCAGAGAGGAGCUGCCCAAUCUACAAAUGUCCGUACCCAGGCUGCUUAUCUGUAGAAAAAAAAAGAGCAGAGGGCAUUAAGAAACACAUUAAGGAGCACUAUGAAGAGGUCUGCAAGCGGCCCUGCCGUCACCAUAGGCUGCGACAAGGUCUUCAUGAUUGACCGCUACCUGCAGCGACACGUCCAACUCAUUCACACAGAGUUGGGGAACUACAUCUGUGACUAAUGUGGUCAGACCUUCAAGCAGAGGAAACACCUGUCUGCACCAGAUGUGCCACUCAGGGGUUAAGCCACUACAGGGGGAGAUUAAGCUCAUAUCAGGUGGCAAGGUUCUGCUGAAUUGUGUUGUGAGGGGCUCAAGCACUGAUGAGUCUGUCAGGAGUUAGCCAAGCCUUUGAUUAUGUGGUACGAUUUGGGUGAGUCUGUAAUAAUGGAAGGGAUGGUUAGGGGCACAAGAAUGCAAGCUUGUAUUUGGCACCCUCACUAAGCCUUUUUGUCUACUUUAAGAUGACCAAACAAGACAGAGGCUGAUCUGGAAUUUGCAUGUGACCUGUGUGGGGAGCGCUUUGAGAUGGCCCACAACCUCAACGACCACGGUGCAUCCCCUCACACUAGCAGCUGUCAGAGGAAACAUUGACAGCCCCUCCAACAACCAACCAUCAAAGACUGGGGAGCUGAACCCAUACACCGGUUGAUAGACUUGAUUAGGUCCGUAACCGACAAGGAGCUGCAAAGAACACAACGUCCCUUGAGCCUCUAAGGAGUCUGGUAUAGACUGGUCAUGGGUACAGUGACUAAUUGAAUAGGACAUGGAAUCACUAGUCACUUUUAAUGUGUAUACUGUUGUACUCAUUUCAAUUGUAUAUACUGUAUUCUAGUCAAUGCCACUCAGACAUUGCUCGUCCUAAUUUAUAUAUUUCUUAAUUCCAUAAUUUUACUUUUAGAUGUGUGUAUUGUUGAAGUAUUAGAUACUACUGCACUGUUGGAGCUAGGAAAACAAGCAUUUCACUACACCGGCAAUAACAUCAGCUAAAUAUGUGUGAGACCAAUAACAUUUGAUUUGACUUGUACUGUUCAUGCUCUAAACCAGGAAUAGGCAACUGACUGGGGACACAGAAAAAUAUCAACUCAUCAGUGGUGUAAAGUACUACUUAAAGUUGUUUUUGGGGGGUAUCUGUACUUUACUAUUUAUAUUUGACAACUUUUACUUCACUACAUUCCUAAAGAAAAUGUACUUUUUACUCCAUUUUCCUUGACACCCAAAAGUACUUGUUACAUUUUGAACGCCAUCUUGUUUAUUGAUACUUAGGUAUAUUUAAAACCAAAUACUGGGUGACUAACUUGAGUAAUUUUCUUUUAAAAGAUAUCUUUACUUUUAAUCAAGUAUGAGAUUUGGAUACUUUUUCCACCACUGCUCAUGAGGGACUCGCAUGUCUGCCCUACCCAAAUCCAUAAAUGCAAAAAAUAUAAGUUUUAGAGUUACUUUUGUCCAUUUCUACACAUUUUGCCAUGGGGCGUAGAGCAACAAAAUCAACAGUGGCCCCCCCAGUCGGUAAAUCGACCAUGAUUACCACACAUUUAGAUUGGUCUAGCGGCCAGCACAUUUUAUUUUUUGCUGACAUGGGCUAAUUGCGUGACUGACGUAACUAGGGAAACUGCUGAUGCACAACCAAAUUGCACUUUGUGUAUAAUACUAUUCUAACUCUCAGUAUGUUGAGACCCCAACAGUUCCUAAAAAUGGGGGGGGGGGGGUUCACCACUUUCCCCAUACCUGCUCUAAACCCACAACAUACUUGAUAGUGGAACAUUAUUGUGUAGAUCAAUGCUUUUUAAAAUUAAGAUAUUUGAUUAAGUUUAUUCCUUACAACAUUCAUAAGGGCUGGUGAAACUUAAACAGCUAUACAAGUGAUCAGGCUCUUCUGUGUACAGGUAUCUUUCUACAAUGCUGAAUAUACACUGCGCUCCCAAAACCACAAUUCCUUCCACACACACAGAAUUCAAAUACAACUGCCAACCACAUAACCUAAAGGCAACAUUAUAAUGUAGCUAUCCAAGUAUAUUCUUCAUUGGAGGACAAAGACCAAGUCCUCUUGCACCCAUACUAAUCAUCUUUAUAUAUCUUGUUCAUGAAGGAAGCCAAGUUAGUGUCAUUAACAGUCCGUGGUGUGCCUGUAGCCCCAUAUACAUCCAUUCACAGGAAGUCCAGCUCUGGGCUGAGGCUGGAAGAGCUGAGGUGAAAGACCAGAGCUGCUGCCACCUCCGGGUCCAGAUCAACACAUAAGGCCUCCAGCUAGGAACAGGAGAGUGAAAGGGUCACAAGUAGGGUAUUGUGUAGUUCAAAUCCAUAUGAUUUCAACACAGUACUACACAACCCAGUCCUACUCUAUGGAAUACAGACUGAGAUCAGCCUUACUCUGGGUGGUCAGUGUACAAAUGUGUUACCUGGUUCAGCUGAUGUGGAGACAGUGAGGUUGGGGAUGUCAGAGAUAUAGUCUUCAGAAGCACCUGCUGGGCCCUAGUCAGAAUAUAUGAGGGGUCCAUCUGCGAGACCAAAACCCGGAUUCAGAAAACCACUGUCAGUAGUUUGGAGACCACAUACCAGUCAACCAGUGACCGUGUCUGAUGAAUAAACAUGAUUAUCUUAGCUUUUUCUGCAUAUCAAAAUAAGCUCACCUGGUCAGUCAGAUGCUCGGUCACAGGGCAGGGAGUCUGGCCGUCCAUAAAGAGCUUGAUAAGGGAGGAGUAGCAGAGCACAGCAGUGUGGAGGAACCCUGGGGCCUUCACUGUUUUCUCCAAUAUCUCAGAGUUAAGAUGGGGGACCAGGCUGGCAGGGAAACACAAUACACAUAAAGAACUCACAUAUAAACAAGAAAAUGGAUGACAACACUGACAGUUUGACCACCAAGUAAAUAUACCUGUAAAAGGCCAAAGGCAUCAGUCUUGUGUAUUCAUCUGAUGUUACCACGGCCACAGGCUGGUAUAGCCCUUUUUCUUGAAUAGGAAAAACAAAAUAUUACAUCACAGAGACACAAAAUGGGACAUAUUCAAAGCCAGAGGCUACUGUAAAUAAGCAAGUUAUAUACUGUACCAGAGCAUGGUGUCUUGAAUAGUAGCAGCCAGUCAGCAGAGUCCACAAGGACAGUCAGGAUAUCUUUACAGAGUUCCUGAGCUCUCUGAAGACCCUUCACCCUCUAUGUAGCAUGUCACACAAAAGUUGUAUGAAACGUUGUAAUUGUGAUGUUUUGUUAGCAGAAAAGUUGUUUUAGUCUGUUGAAUACGUUACUGUUACACUGUUGAGUGUGUAGGGCUAGGACAGCGUUUCCCAAACUAGGGGUCGCCUGAUUUGAAAAUGGGAUCGCAAGAGAAACUCUGAAAUUAUUAUACAUAUAUUUUUAAACACGUUUGGUUCAUAGAACCGGGAUUACGUCACUCCAGUAGCAGCUAGAUGCAGUUGUAAUAAACAGAGCGGUUUCUGUUUUCUUCCUACAAAUGUGGCUCUGUCUUUUCAACAGUUUAAGCUACAACAUACGGCCCUGUCACUGAAAGAUAAGACUCCCAGGAACUUGUAGCCGCGCAGGACUCAGAACAGACUGGAGAGGAAACAGAACAUCAAUGAUAAUGUUCCAUUUGACACAGAAGUUAAUAAAUUAUUGCCUGAUGAUCUUCUGAACUUGCCAAUACCUUUCUGAUACAUUUCUGUCACCAUACUUUCUUCAGAUAAAAAUACUGUCAAAAGUACAGUCUGACUGAUUUGUAAUAGACUGUCAUAGCCCCAAUUAAAAAAGUAAACAUUGGCAGUUGAUAACAAAACUUUUUUACAUGGUGGGGGCAACAACAAAAACAAUUUAU